CCCCAGUAGCAGAAAGUUUGAGCAAUGGUCAUUCAAGUUCACAGCCACAUAAUAAAAAAGAAAGAGAGAGAGAGAGAGAGAGAGAGAGAGAGAGAGAGAGAGAGAGAGAGAGAAAGAGAGAGAGAGAGAGAGAACUAGAACAAAACCCUAAACAAGUAGUAACAAAGAAGUCAGCACGGGGCCUGGCAAACAAAUUCCCCCAAGACUCUCCCUUUGAAGGGGGUGGGGAAGCCAUGGGGCAGGAUUUGAGCUACGGCACAUAUGCCUGGAGAUGCUUUUCCUAUAAAUGUGACUUGACUCUGUUUCUCUCUCUCUCUUUUUUCAUCUGGAGGGUAUUUGGAAGGAGCAUGAAGCUUGUCUGAGGAGGGCAGUUUUUCUGCCAGUUCCCCUGCCUGCUACCUUGGGGCCAUUGUAGUGUCCCAAGGUCUACAUGAGUUGGCUGCCCACCCACAGGAGCGGCCUCUGCAGAGCGGGCCGUCUCAGACUGGGGCAGGGACCUGCCUCCACUUCUCCACAUGUGGACAGGCACACAGUGGACAGGGGCAUGUUAGCCAACAGAAGGCAGGGCAUAGGCAUCUUCUGGCUGAGGAAACUAAGGCCCCAGGAGGGCACAGGACUCACCCAAAGCCACACAGCCCUUCUGAUCAGAACGGGGGGUCAAAGCCUACCAAAGCCCCCAGACACUUCUUUCCCCUGCAUUUGUUGCUGGUCUUCAACAGACUGGCACCAAAUAGGAAAAUGAGGGGGCACACAGGGGAAAAGAUGGGAAUUGGCCGGGCCUGGUGCAUAAGAAGGCCAGCCAGUGACAAACCCAGCAAGUUCUCAAAGAUGGUGUGCACUUGUGACAUCAUUUAGUUUGACCUUCCAUCAGUCUGGGUAGGAACAUUGGUGGUGAAACUGAGGCUUGAAGAGGGCUUGAUUGAUAAUCGCAGUGUCCCCUGGUAAAGGCCACACCUUCUUUUACCUUUAGUGGGGGAAUGGCUGGGGACAAUGAGUUUGCUGAGCCUUAUGAAGAAGCCUAGAUCUGGGGUGGGACAAGGGCCCAUUCUUGGGUCUGGGUAGCAGUGUCUCUACCAAAGGCAGAGGGCUACAGUGGAGUGGCUUAGACAAUAGGGCCACCCUUCUACCCUAUACUUGUCCCUGGGCAGCAGGAUUUGAGAGAAGAGCCCAGCGUAUAGCUCACUGCGUGGGAGAAAGGGAAAUACCAGAAAGUUCUGGAUUAAACAUCCCCUUCCACUUCU
ensembl:lncRNA